GGGUCAGUAGGUUGGUCGUGCCACCGGUACGUACUGGUCUCACUGAUUCCUCCUUCCUGAAGAACCGUAAUGCCAUUAAUUUGGUGUUGCGGGGAAACAGGACUGUUACUUUGAAAAAAUUAGAGUGUUUAAAGCAAGCUAACGCCUGAAUACAUUAGCAUAGAAUAAUGAAAUAGGACGAUCGAUCCUAUUUUGUUGGUUUCUAGGAUUGACGUA
rnacentral:rRNA from 1 species